UACGGAGGGUGCGAGCGUUAAUCGGAAUGACUGGGCGUAAAGGGCUCGCAGGUGGCGAGAUGAGUUGGAUGUGAAAUUCCCGUGCUUAACAUGGGGACUGCAUCCAAAACUGUUGAACUGGAGUACUGUAGAGGGAGGUAGAAUUCCACGUGUAGCGGUGAAAUGCGUAGAGAUGUGGAAGAAUACCAGAGGCGAAGGCGGCCUCCUGGACAGAUACUGACACUGAGGUGCGAAAGCGUGGGUAGCAAACAGG
rnacentral:rRNA from 1 species